rnacentral:lncRNA from 1 species
CCUUCAUAAAACAACAAGAAGGAAGAUGCUGUACUCCUUCCCGCAGUCUCAGCUGUCCCAGCCCCAUCCCGAAGAGCAUCCACCGCGGAUCCUGUGGGCUCCACAACAGCAGGUGGCUGCCUUCAGCAUGGGACGGCAUAUUUCUUGUCAGCAAGUCUGAUGGGUCCCCCAGUUCCCCGCUGCUGUGGAGAGAGAGGAGGCCCACAGAGGCGGCCUGACCGCGGUACUGUGCUGGCACUCCAGACGCCCUGUUCCCACCCGUCAUCCUGCAGGCCUCUCCUCUCUUCUGCUGCCCCCACAGUCCAGGCUGCCUGCUUCUCCUGCUGUGGAUGCCACUGCCCCCACCCUAGCUUCCCCUUGUUUCUUCCUGAUUACUGUUUCUUGCUUUUGCCACCACUGGAGAAUGAGGUCAUGGGAGCAGUGGGGGACGGCAGUGCUCAGGUGGUGAAUGGACUGGGGACCCUGGAGACUGAGGUGAAUUUCCCACGCCCCCUCUGAGGGCUGCUCAGAGAGUACUUAUCUUGGAAUCCAUCUCCCCGCAACACACACCCACUGACUCCCAUGGGGAGAGGCAGUGGAGAGGACUUUAGCCUUGGUCUUCCUUUCCUACCAGGAGGAUGACAGCUCCAGCCCUGCAGCUCCUUCCUUCGCCCGACUCCUGCACUGGAGCCGGAUGGUUUAGAAUGAGAUCCAGGCCUCCUCCCACGUCUCCCUCCCUUCCUUCCAUCCCAGGCAGAUCAGGGAACUUGCUCCUCCUCAGGAAAGCAGCUGGACAGAGUGGGUGGGAUGAGGAGUCCAGGUGGUCCCCAAGGCGAGCACUGCGCAGGUGUGGGCUUUAUGAGAGAGGAGAUGAGCUACAGCUGCAGAGACUCAGACAUAUCAGGUUGAGAGAGCAAGGGAGUUAAGAAGUCAAGUUGGCUGUACACCUGUAAUCUCAGCAUUUUGGGAGGCCGAGGUAGGUGGAUCACUUGAGGUCAGGAGUUUGCAACCAGUCUGGCCAACAUGGUGAAACCCCGUCUCUACUAAAAAUUUAAAAAAUUAGCCAGGCGUGGUGGUGAGCACCUGUAAUCCCAGCUACUUGGGAGGCUAAGGCGGGAGAAUUGCUUGAACCCGGGAGGUGGAGGCUGCAGUGAGCUGAGACUGCACCACUGCACUCCAGCCUGGGCAACAG